AGAGUUUGAUCCUGGCUCAGGACGAACGCUGGCGGCGUGCCUAAUACAUGCAAGUAGAACGCUGAAGGAGGAGCUUGCUUCUCUGGAUGAGUUGCGAACGGGUGAGUAACGCGUAGGUAACCUGCCUGGUAGCGGGGGAUAACUAUUGGAAACGAUAGCUAAUACCGCAUAAGAGUAGAUGUUGCAUGACAUUUGCUUAAAAGGUGCACUUGCAUCACUACCAGAUGGACCUGCGUUGUAUUAGCUAGUUGGUGGGGUAACGGCUCACCAAGGCGACGAUACAUAGCCGACCUGAGAGGGUGAUCGGCCACACUGGGACUGAGACACGGCCCAGACUCCUACGGGAGGCAGCAGUAGGGAAUCUUCGGCAAUGGACGGAAGUCUGACCGAGCAACGCCGCGUGAGUGAAGAAGGUUUUCGGAUCGUAAAGCUCUGUUGUAAGAGAAGAACGAGUGUGAGAGUGGAAAGUUCACACUGUGACGGUAUCUUACCAGAAAGGGACGGCUAACUACGUGCCAGCAGCCGCGGUAAUACGUAGGUCCCGAGCGUUGUCCGGAUUUAUUGGGCGUAAAGCGAGCGCAGGCGGUUAGAUAAGUCUGAAGUUAAAGGCUGUGGCUUAACCAUAGUAGGCUUUGGAAACUGUUUAACUUGAGUGCAAGAGGGGAGAGUGGAAUUCCAUGUGUAGCGGUGAAAUGCGUAGAUAUAUGGAGGAACACCAGUGGCGAAAGCGGCUCUCUGGCUUGUAACUGACGCUGAGGCUCGAAAGCGUGGGGAGCAAACAGGAUUAGAUACCCUGGUAGUCCACGCUGUAAACGAUGAGUGCUAGGUGUUAGACCCUUUCCGGGGUUUAGUGCCGUAGCUAACGCAUUAAGCACUCCGCCUGGGGAGUACGACCGCAAGGUUGAAACUCAAAGGAAUUGACGGGGGCCCGCACAAGCGGUGGAGCAUGUGGUUUAAUUCGAAGCAACGCGAAGAACCUUACCAGGUCUUGACAUCCCUCUGACGACUCUAGAGAUAGANAAUCCAGACGCUUAUUUGACUGAAAUAGCUUCUGAAUUUGGCUGUCAUCCAACUACCAUCCACUAUGCACUCAAAGCUAUGGGCUACACUCGAAAAAAAGAACCACACCUACUAUGAACAAGACCCAGAAAAAGUAGCCUUAUUUCUUAAGAAUUUUAAUAGUUUAAAGCACCUAGCACAGGUCUAACAAAUGGUGAAUUAAUCGCUCCAAUGACUUACGAAGAGAUGAUGACGAGCGACUUUUUUGAAGUAUGGUUUCAGAAGUUUCUCUUACCAACAUUAACCACACCAUCGGUUAUUAUAGUGAAAUGAAAUAAGAACAGGACAAAUCGAUCAGGACAGUAAAAUCGAAUUCUAACAAUGUUUUAGAAGUAGAGGUGUACUAUUCUAGUUUCAAUCUACUAUAUUAAUGGACAAUGCAAGAUUCCAUAGAAUGGGGAAGCUAGAACUCUUGUGUGAAGAGUUUGGGCAUAAACUUUUACCUCUUCCUCCCUACUCGCCUGAGUACAAUCUUAUUGAGAAAACAUGGGCUCAUAUCAAAAAGCACCUCAAAAGGGUAUUACCAAGUUGCAAUACCUUUUAUGAGGCUCUUUUGUCUUGUUCUUGUUUCAAUUGACUAUAUAAAUUGUCUAAGCGAAACAACCGAUAAGAAUUGGCACAAAAGCGACCGUAUUUUUGUUACCAAUACAGGAAAACCAGUUCAUAGUUCUAUCUUGAGCAAGUCUCUCCAGCGAGCAAACGAACGCCUUAAAAAACCAAUUCCCAAACAUCUGUCCCCUCACAUCUUCAGACACACCACUAUUAGCAUCUUAUCAGAAAAUAAAAUUCCUUUAAAAACAAUCACGGACAGGGUGGGUCAUUCCGACUCUGAAGUCACUACUUCCAUCUACACCCACGUCACAAAGAACAUGAA
rnacentral:rRNA from 1 species